rnacentral:lncRNA from 1 species
AUUAAGAGUUCUUGAAGCCAGCAUAGCAGAGAAUAAAGCAUGUUUGAAGAGGACACCUACAGAAGUUUGGAGGGAUUCUCGAAACCCUUAUGAUAGAAAAAGACAGGACAAAGCUCCCGUUGGGCUAAAGAAUGUUGGCAAUACUUGUUGGUUUAGUGCUGUUAUUCAGUCAUUAUUUAAUCUUUUGGAAUUUAGAAGAUUAGUUCUGAAUUACAAGCCUCCAUCAAAUGCUCAAGAUUUACCCCGAAACCAAAAGGAACAUCGGAAUUUGCCUUUUAUGCGUGAGCUGAGGUAUCUAUUUGCACUUCUUGUUGGUACCAAAAGGAAGUAUGUUGAUCCAUCAAGAGCAGUUGAAAUUCUUAAGGAUGCUUUCAAAUCAAAUGACUCACAGCAGGUAGUUCUGUUGCACUGACUUGUUCAUUAACCAUUUGUAUUUAAUCUGAACAAUAUUAAGCACCUUUCCCAAGAAUAUGAGACUAUUUGAGAUGCAUGAUUCUGCUUUAUUAAAAAUAACCUGGAACCAUUUAAAACAUUUGGGAGACUUUUAAGAGAAAAGUGAUCUUGAAGGUGUUAAAAUAAAGUUUUAAUUUAUAUUAUGAUUGAAAUGAAAACGAUGGAUACAAUUAAGAUUAUUUACAAAUACAUAAUUAAACAUGUUCACAAAUGUGUGAUAACAGAGGAUCAUUAUAGUACACAUGCUUUUGAUAUUCCUGUGUUUGCUGGCAGGGAGUACUUUUCCUUAAUUACCCAGAAAUGGUUUUUGAAAGAUGUUAUCUUUGUUAUUGUUGCUUUUGUCUUUUAUUCUUUAUAUAGUGUAUUGUGGUAGAUUUUUAUCCAUUACCUUAAAAGAAUAUUGGUAAUUUUCUUAUAAAAAAUACAAAAUAUCUAUAAACAAACCAGUAUUUUCACAUAUAAUUGGAAAAAUCAGAGAAAUUAAAG